rnacentral:rRNA from 1 species
CUACGGGUUGCUGCAGUGGGGAAUAUUGGACAAUGGGGGAAACCCUGAUCCAGCAAUGCCGCGUGUGUGAAGAAGGCCUGCGGGUUGUAAAGCACUUUCGGUUGGGAGGACUGCUUCUAGCACUAAUAUUGUUGGAAGUUGACGUUGCCUUCAGAAGAAGCACCGGCUAACUCCGUGCCAGCAGCCGCGGUAAUACGGAGGGUGCAUGCGUUAAUCGGAAUUACUGGGCGUAAAGCGCGCGUAGGCGGCUAGAUCAGUCGGGUGUGAAAGCCCCGGGCUUAACCUGGGAACUGCAUCCGAUACUGUCUAGCUUGAGUACAGGAGAGGAGAGUGGAAUUCCACAUGUAGCGGUGAAAUGCGUAGAUAUGUGGAGGAACACCAAUGGCGAAGGCAGCUCUCUGGCCUGAUACUGACGCUGAGGUGCGAAAGCGUGGGGAGCAAACAGGAUUAGAUACCCCUGUAGUC